rnacentral:snRNA from 1 species
CGAUGUGAGGGCAAUCUGGCUGCAGCAUCUGUCACCCCAUUGAUCACCAGGAUUGAUUCGGCUGAUCUGGCUGGCUAGGCGGGUGUCCCCUUCCUACUCCACCACUCCUCCAUAUGCGUCCCUCCUGAAAGCUGUGCACUUGUUUGAAGAGGACGAUCUUGCCCACUAGAGGAGGACCGGUCUUCGGUCAAGGGUAUACGAGUAGCUGCACUCCCUUGCUAGAACCUCCAAACAAGCUCUCAAGAUAGAUGAACAAAUAUAUUAAUUUUUCUAAUUGCUUUUUUUUAACAUUUAUUUCUUCUAGGAAUCUGUCUUG